GCCCUACUAGAGAAAUGGUUAACUCGCCGGCCUCCUAAUUAUAAGAAAGCCGGAGAUUCUCGGUUCGAGUCCGAGGUGGGGUG